UUCUUAGGGCCCUCCUGGUCCAAAAGGUGAUAAGGGAGAACAAGGUGAUCAGGGACCUCGGAUGGUGUUUCCUAAAAUCAAUCAUGGGUUUCUCUCUGCUGAUCAGCAGCUCAUUAAACGCCGCUUGAUUAAGGGUGACCAAGGACAAGCUGGGCCCCCAGGCCCACCUGGCCCUCCAGGCCCAAGAGGGCCUCCUGGGGACACCGGGAAAGAUGGCCCCCGAGGAAUGCCAGGAGAGCCCGGUGAACCAGGGAACCCAGGAAAACAAGGCUCAAU